UGUUCCCAUUCCGAACACAGCAGUUAAGCUCUCCAGCGCCGAUAGUACUUGGGACGUGAGUCCCUGGGAGGGUAGGUCGUUGCCAGGA
rnacentral:rRNA from 1 species